GGUCUAGGCUUUUUUGGUAGAAAGAUUUUUAAUUUUUUAAUUUAGCUUAUUUUAAUUUAUAGUAAAUUAAUUUUAUAGUUAUAGGACUACUCAGGGUUUCUAUUUCCAAACUGAUGUGUAAUAUUUUUCUAGGAAUUUUUGUAUUUCAUCCAAGUUUUCAACUGUACUGGCAUAAAAGUUGUUUUAAAAUUCUCUUUUUAAUCAAACUGUUUUAAUAUUUUCAAAAACACUCUAACCUUGUGGCUUUUCUUCUCCUCAAGAGAUUAAUUUAUAAUCUAGAUAUAUUUUUGCUUUCUGUUGUCCAGAAAAGCUUGUAAAACUUCACCACCUGUAUCAUGCACAAUAUGAUAUGCUUAAACAGAACAGGAGAGAAAGAAGUAUAUUUCAUGCUGUUUCAAAACUAGCCUACUAUCUUUUCAAAACUGCAAGAGAUCUAAGAAGUUUAUUUCAUUAAUAGUUGAUGAAUGAUUGUUUUUGAAUUUUUUAAAACACAGGUGAGAAAUGGUGCCAUGUUACACUCUAAUUAUAUACCCAUGUUCCAAACUUCUAUUGGUUUUGAUGUAAUAAUUACAGCUUUUUAUACUUUAGUGAUGACUCAAUUGCUACAUCUAAUGUCAAGAAAAAAAAAACCCUAAUUCCUUUUUUCAUUAUAUCUGACAUUUACAAAGUCAUGAUACUUUAGUUUUUACAUGGAAAGCUAAAUGUAUAUAGAAAUUAAGACUCUCUUGAUAGAAAUGUUUUCAACUGUGUUUUGAGUCCAAAAUACUGUGGAGUUGUUUUCCUUGGCAAUUUCAUGCCAAAACAUAGAAUGUUUUUCUGGGGGACAAGAGAUCUCCAUAACAAACUCCAGACUGCCAUGGCAUCAUCAGCAUUCAGGGAACCCUAAUUGCUGAAUUCUUUCUGGCUAGCAAGAGUUUAGGGGCUGCUGACUUCUAGACAAACCAGUGUUGUUUCUUUUUCUUUUUUUUUUUUUUUUGUUUGCUUGUUUUUGUUUUGAGACGAAGUCUCGCUCUGUCGCCAGGCUAGAAUGCAGUGGUGCAAUCUCGGCUCACUGCAACCUCCACCUCCCAGGUUCAAGCAAUUCUCUUGCCUCAGCCUCCUGAGUAGCUGGGACUACAGGCACGUGCCAUCAGGCCCAGCUAAUUUUUUUUUUGUUUUUUUUUGUUUUUUUUGUUUUUUGAGACAGAGUCUCGGGCUCUGUAGCCCAGGAGGCUGAAGUUGUGGUGAGACAAGAAUGCGCAACUGCACUCCAACUUGUCUCUGAAAAUAAGAAGCCCAAAGCCCACACCUUACCUUGGACCACUUAAAUCAGAAUCUCUUGCAGUGGGAUUUGGGUAUCAGUAGGUCUGAAAACUCCCUCAGGUGAUUCCAAUGUGCAGAAGAGUGUGGGAACCACUUCUCUCUGACCUUGCUACUUAAGUAUGACCGAUGGACCAGUGGCAUGACAUCAUCAGGAAGGUUUUUAGCAAUCACAGGCUCAGGCCCCACCCCAGACCUAAUGGGUCAGAAUUCCCUUUUCACAAGAACCACAGGUGAUUUGGGCAUGCAUUUAAGCAACAGACUCACUGCUCUAGGGCAUAGCAAACUAUUCCAUCCACCACUGUCCACAGGUAGUUUAUUUCUGCUUCAGAAAUGCAAAAGCAAGUGCGGAGAAGCAAGAAUGGAGAUCUGAAAGCAUUAUUUUCUUAAAAAGUAAAGUUAGAUAAAUAAAAGGGCAAAGUUUGAGCCUAGGACAUUUUUACAGAUUAUUCAGAUAUAAAAUUUUUCAGAUAAGUUAUUCCGCUAUAUGUCCCAUAACAUCAUGCUGUACAUCUGAAAUAUACACAAUAAAAUGCAUUUCUUUAAAUAAAUAAAAUGUACCAAGUAAUAUUUUUAAAAAAUUGUUCCACUAUAACAACAAAAAAAGGGCAAUAAUAACUACUAUUCAAAUGAGGGAAAGAGGAGACCAGAGGAAAGUUCGUUGGUUUGAACACUAG
rnacentral:lncRNA from 10 species